CUGGUUUUCCAGGCAAAUCCGGAAAAUCAAGGCUGAGGCGUGAUGACGAGGCACUACGGUGCUGAAGCAACAAAUGCCCUGCUUCCAGGAAAAGCCUCUAAGCAUCAGGUAACAUCAAAUCGUACCCCAAACCGACACAGGUGGUCAGGUAGAGAAUACCAAGGCGCUUGAGAGAACUCGGGUGAAGGAACUAGGCAAAAUGGUGCCGUAACUUCGGGAGAAGGCACGCUGAUAUGUAGGUGAAGCGACUUGCUCGUGGAGCUGAAAUCAGUCGAAGAUACCAGCUGGCUGCAACUGUUUAUUAAAAACACAGCACUGUGCAAACACGAAAGUGGACGUAUACGGUGUGACGCCUGCCCGGUGCCGGAA
rnacentral:rRNA from 1 species